rnacentral:tRNA from 1 species
AAAACUUUAAGUUAAUAAAACUAAUAAUCUUCAAAAUUAUCAAUAAUUUAAUAAAAUUAAGUUUUA